rnacentral:rRNA from 1 species
GCCUAACACAUGCAAGUCGAACGAGCGAGAGAGAGCUUGCUUUCUCGAGCGAGUGGCGAACGGGUGAGUAACGCGUGAGGAACCUGCCUCAAAGAGGGGGACAACAGUUGGAAACGACUGCUAAUACCGCAUAAGCCCACGGCUCGGCAUCGAGCAGAGGGAAAAGGAGCAAUCCGCUUUGAGAUGGCCUCGCGUCCGAUUAGCUGGUUGGUGAGGUAAUGGCCCACCAAGGCGACGAUCGGUAGCCGGACUGAAAGGUUGAACGGCCACAUUGGGACUGAGACACGGCCCAGACUCCUACGGGAGGCAGCAGUGGGGAAUAUUGCACAAUGGGGGAAACCCUGAUGCAGCGACGCCGCGUGGAGGAAGAAGGUCUUCGGAUUGUAAACUCCUGUUGUUGGGGAAGAUAAUGACGGUACCCAACAAGGAAGUGACGGCUAACUACGUGCCAGCAGCCGCGGUAAAACGUAGGUCACAAGCGUUGUCCGGAAUUACUGGGUGUAAAGGGAGCGCAGGCGGGAAGACAAGUUGGAAGUGAAAUCUAUGGGCUCAACCCAUAAACUGCUUUCAAAACUGUUUUUCUUGAGUAGUGCAGAGGUAGGCGGAAUUCCCGGUGUAGCGGUGGAAUGCGUAGAUAUCGGGAGGAACACCAGUGGCGAAGGCGGCCUACUGGGCACCAACUGACGCUGAGGCUCGAAAGU